rnacentral:rRNA from 1 species
GACGAACGCUGGCGGCGUGCUUAACACAUGCAAGUCGAACGGUGAAGCGCCUUCCUUUUUGGUGGGUGUGGAUGAGUGGCGAACGGGUGAGUAACACGUGAGUAACCUGCCCCCUUCUUCUGGAUAACCGCAUGAAAGUGUGGCUAAUACGGGAUAUUCUGGGUCUGUCGCAUGAUGGGUCUGGGAAAGAUAUUGUUUCGGUGGGGGAUGGGCUCGCGGCCUAUCAGCUUGUUGGUGGGGUGAUGGCCUACCAAGGCGGUGACGGGUAGCCGGCCUGAGAGGGUGGACGGUCACACUGGGACUGAGACACGGCCCAGACUCCUACGGGAGGCAGCAGUGGGGAAUAUUGCACAAUGGGCGCAAGCCUGAUGCAGCGACGCCGCGUGAGGGAUGGAGGCCUUCGGGUUGUGGACCUCUUUCGCCAGUGAAGCAGGCCUGCCUCGUUUGUGGGUGGGUUGACGGUAGCUGGAUAAGAAGCGCCGGCUAACUACGU